rnacentral:rRNA from 1 species
AGCGUGGAGACAGGUGGUGCAUGGCUGUCGUCAGCUCGUGUCGUGAGAUGUUGGGUUAAGUCCCGCAACGAGCGCAACCCUCACCCCUUGUUGCCAUCAGGUCAUGCUGGGCACUCUAGGGGAACUGCCCCGGUCAACGGGGAGGAAGGCGGGGAUGACGUCAAGUCAUCAUGCCCCUUACGUCCUGGGCUACACACGUGCUACAAUGGCCGGUACAAAGGGAUGCCACACCGCGAGGUAGAGCUAAACCCAAAAAGCCGGUCUAAGUUCAGAUUGGAGUCUGCAACUCGACUCCAUGAAGGAGGAAUCGCUAGUAAUCGCGUAUCAGCACGACGCGGUGAAUACGUUCCCGGGCCUUGCACACACCGCCCGUCACACCACGAAAGCCAGCUGUACUCGAAGUCGCUGAG